rnacentral:ncRNA from 1 species
AAAAAUUUGAUUUUAGUUUUAAAUUUAGUUAAUUAGUAAAUUUACAUGAAAAUUUUUAUAAGAUUAAAUAAAUUUUUAAAUAAAAUUUUAUAUUAAAAUUCUCAGUAUAUAAUUUUAAUAAUUAAAUAAUUUUAGAUUUAGUUAAUUAAUUUUAGUAUGAACAAAAUUUGUGCCAGCAGUUGCGGUUAUACAAAUUAUACAAAUUAAAUUUAUUAGAAAAGAAUAAUGAUUUUAUAAAAUUUAAAAAAUUAUUUAUUAGGUGAAAUUUUAAAUAAUCAAUAAAUUUAUAAAAAAAUAUGAAUUUUGAAAAUUUUUAUUUAAACUAGGAUUAGAUACCCUAUUAUUUUAAAUGUAAAUAUAAAUUCUAAAGGAGUAGUAGUUAUAAUCUUAAAAAUUAAAAAAUUUGGCGGUAUUUUAGUCUAUUCAGAGGAACCUGUUCUAUGAAUGAUACUCCACGAUUAAUUAGACUUAUUUUUUUAAUUUUUAUAUCAUUGUAGAUUGAAUAUUUUAAUAGAAUUUAAAUAUUCAAAAUUUUAAUUUAUGAAAGAAAAUCAAAUCAAGGUGAAGUUUAUAAAUAAGAAGAAAUGGGUUACAAUAAAAUUAUUUAUAUGAAUUAUAAUAUGAAAUAGUUAUAUGAAAGUGGAUUUGAAAGUAAUUUUUUUUAUUUUUUUAAAAUGAUUUAAGCUCUAAAAUGUGUACAUAUUGCCCGUCGCUUCUAAUUAAAAGUAGAAUAAGUCGUAACAUAGUUGAUUUACUGGAAAGUGAAUCUAGAAUUCAA